rnacentral:rRNA from 1 species
AUGGGGGGUUUGGGCUUCAAAGAUUUCGAGCUCUUUAACUUAGCAAUGUUGGAAAAACAAGCGUGGAGGCUGCUACAGAAUCCUGCAACACUAAGUGCAUGUAUUUUGAAAAGUGUGUAUUACCCAAACUCGAAUAUUCUGGGUGCUGAACUUGGGAACCACCCAAGCCAAGUGUGGCGGGCCAUCAUCGAAGGCAGGGACACACUACGUCAGGGGCGGAUCAGACGGAUUGGUAACGGAGAAACAACACAUAUCUGGAAUCAAAACUGGUUGCCACGUGAAGGGAUGUUCCGACCCUUGGGAACUAUAUCCCAAAAUCCGCCCACCAUGGUGGCUGAGCUCAUAAUUGGAUCGACGACAUCAUGGAACAGGCAACUGGUGCAAGAACAUCUUAUGCCAAUAGAUGCACAAGUUGUGCUAGCAAUCCCUCUGUGCACCAGAAACAUAAGUGACUUUUGGGCCUGGUACUACGAGAAACAUGGAGAGUUCACUGUCAAGUCUGCGUAUAAGAUGCUUGUCGCAACCAAAUCAAGACGGGAAGCUUGGUUAGAAGGGUCGGCGGGACAAUCUAACUCCAUUGUAGAGGAGGGAGCGUGGAAGAGACUAUGGAAGACGGAGGUUCCGGGUAAAAUCUGUAUGUUCUUAUGGAGACUCUCAAAGCAUUCCCUACCCACAAAUGAUGUCAGAGCACAUAGACAUAUGGCUGACACCGACCAAUGCGGGCUCUGUGGUAAUCGAGAUCCGUGGCGACACUCCCUGCUGAGUGCUCAUCAUCAAGGAGUGUUUGGGCGCUCAUCGACGAGGACAUCACACAUAAAAAAAUAG